CAACACAUGGUGGCGAAUAACCUUAACGAUGGCUCAAUUCCAUUAGGUUUCCCAGUUAGCUAUUUCAGUGAGUCAGCAUGCACAAUACCAGGGCGUCUCCUAAGUGGAAUGCAGCCAUCAUUAAUAUUUUUAAUACACC